rnacentral:tRNA from 1 species
GAGGGUAUAGCUUAGUGGUAGACUGCAUGCUUAGCAUGCAUGAGGUUCUGGGUUCAAUCCCCAGCAGUUCCU